UACGUAGGGCGCAAGCGUUAUCCGGAAUUAUUGGGCGUAAAGAGCUCGUAGGCGGUCUGUCACGUCGGCUGUGAAAACCCGAGGCUCAACCUCGGGCCUGCAGUCGAUACGGGCAAACUAGAGUACUGCAGGGGAGACUGGAAUUCCUGGUGUAGCGGUGAAAUGCGCAGAUAUCAGGAGGAACACCGGUGGCGAAGGCGGGUCUCUGGGCAGUAACUGACGCUGGAGGAGCGAAAGCGUGGGGAGCGAACAGG
rnacentral:rRNA from 1 species